CUAAAACGGACAAAACUUAGGUUCACCCCCUAUAGUGAACUCUCAAAUUCACCUUAUUAUUAACACCAAUCAAAUUGCCAUGUAAGUUUAGUAAAUAAGGUAAGAAGUAAAACUAACAAAAAAAAUGAAAAUAACAAAAAAAAAAGACCUCGCCGUUGGAAAAGGAUUAGAACGUGAUCUCAAUCUGCUUCUUCUUCUUUGUCGCCCAAUUUCGGUUUCACCUUCUUCAAACCAAACCAAGCCAUAUCUGACGGUGAUGACAACAAUCUGCAACGACUUUUGAGUAGCUAAGCUUCUUCUUAAAGCAGCUUGCCUCCCACAACAAGUUUCAUUUGCGUGACUAAGAUCAUCAAUGGCAUCUGACUGACCAGUUGAGGAAAAUUCAGAUAGUGAACGAUACCAAUAAGGAUUUUGUUGUCGAGGCACUGAGAUCAAUUGCGGAGAUACUAACCUAUGGCGAUCACCAUGAUCCCUCAUUCUUUGACUGCAGGUUUUUUUGGAUAAGCAAGUCAUGGGAGAGUUUAUACGUAUUUUGAGGGUUAGCAAAACAGUAACAGUUUCUGUUCAGUUGUUGCAAAUCAUAGACUACUUGUUUAGUAACAAAUAUGUAAACUAUUUGUUGUCAUCGCCGUCAGACAUGGCUUGAUUUGGUUUGAAGAAGGUGAAACCGAAAUUGGGCGCCGAAGAAGAAGAAGCCGAUGGAGAUCACAUUCUAAUCCUUUUCUAACGGCGACGUCUUUUUUUUUUUCAAUUUUAGCUAUUUUCCUUUUUUUGUUAGUUUUAAUUUUUUCCUUAUUUACUAAUCCUCAAUUUAAUUGCUGUUAAUAAUAGGGGUGAAUUUGAGAGUUCACCACAGGGGUUGAACCUAAGUUUGUCCUUCUAAAACGACUUAUAUUAAAAACCAGAGGGAGUAUCUAUUUAUAUAUAAUAGUGUUUUGCUCUCUCCUGGUGAAGCCACCUAGGAUUCCAGGUCAGAAAAUCGAGCUUUCUAGAUGCAACACGUGUCCCAUCUCACAAUGCGCUGCGUUUCAUUUACGAUUGUUCUUAAUAUCUGUAGGUUUCAUGUUUGGGCUUUCUGUUUACUCAGAAAUUUGAGCCCAAAAGCGACCAAACCCUUAUCGUCUUCCUCGACUUGACUGCAAAUUUUAGAGUUCAUCCUCUUCUUCAAUCUCCGACAACACGUUAUAUACAAUAGUGUUUUGCUCCCUCCUGGUGAAGCCACCUAGGAUUCCAGGUCAGAAAAUCGAGCUUUCUAGAUGCAACACGUGUCCCAUCUCACAAUUCGAUGCGUUUCAUUUACGAUUGUUCUUAAUAUCUCUAGGUUUCAUGUUUAGGCUUUCUGUUUACUCAGAAAUUUAAGCCCAAAAGCGACCAAACCCUUAUCGUCUUCCUCGACUUGAUGGCAAAUUUUAGAGUUCAUCCUCUUCUUCAAUCUCCGACAACACGUAAAAUAACAUGUAACCCUGUUCUAAUCCUCCGUUAACACGUAACCCUAAUCUGUUUGGCUCAUCAACAUCUUCUCCAACCUCCAACCGACGUUGCAAGCGGAGCAAGCGGUAGAGAGCAACGGAGCAAGAGGCGAGAGCGACGGAGCAAGCUGCGAGAGAGACGGGGCAAACGGCGAGAGCGACGGAGCAAGCGGCGAGAGCGACGGAGCAAGUGACGGGCAGAUCAAGAUGGAUAGCCAUGGAACAAGAAACAGAGAGUGUGAAGAGAGAGAUAUCAAAAGAAAUUGCUACAGUUCAAGCUCUCACAUGGGAGGUGGAUAGGCUCUCACACAUGGCUCGUACUUUCGAAGUUUUUGUAAAUGGAGAUAUGGAGGUUGCGGUGGAAGAGGCUGACAUGACUGCAUCGCUUCUCAUGAGGUUGUUGCUCAAAUUCAAUGGCAUCAAAGCAGAAGGGAAAUCUAGAGUACAAUGAUAACGCAGAGGUUAAUGUUUCAUCUCAUGCAUUCUUCAUUUGUCUGCAUCAACUAUGUUUACACAAUAAGAAUGUCAACAACAAUGGUAAAUGACAUGAAUCAGGUAGUUAUGACUAAUGAGUUCUGAGGCUUUCGAUGAGUUGCAAUGAUAUGAUCAGUGACUUUGGUAGAUAUACAUUGAGAUUAUGUUAAGUGAUCAUUUGUUUGUAUGAAUUAGUGGAAUGGGGACCAAAGGAUCCAAAUCUAUCAGCUAAAAACUUGCAUGUGUUUCCCUAUCUCUAUAUAUAGAUAUGAAUUGUCAAGGAUUAACCUCAACUUUAAGAUUGUUCUUAAUUUAUUUUCUCUUAAGUGACUGGAGAAGUAUGAGGACUACUUGAAGCUCAGAUCAAGAGUUGAGAUCCUACCACAUUCACAACAGCAAAUGAUUACUUCAAAAAUUUAGUAAUCAGUUUUGGACAUAAAAAACAUAGCUUGCAGUUUUACUUAUGCGUUCAAGUGGUGUGCAUAAGACCAUUCAUGAAGGCAUUAACCUUAGAGGUGACAAUGUAUAUUAAUUGCUAAGGCUGGUGCUCUAAUGUUUGCUGAUUAUGGAAUAUGUUGCGUUCACGUGUUUGACGAUAUGGAUAUCAAAAAUCAGGAGAAAGAAUAGAUGGAGAUGCUUGUGUUCCAACUUCUCACCAACACAGCUUUUGCGAGACAAAUAAAAAACACAUGUUCUAUAAGACAUAGGGGGCCAGUCUCAACGGACAUUCUUGAAGCUUCGCUAUCACCUCUGGAAAGAUUCUUAAACAGAGACUAGACAUGUUGCUUAUGCAUGUCUGAAUCUGGAAACUCAGCUAGACGCAACGCAUCAGCAACACGGGCGAUCAAUGUCAUCUUCACCAUCCUGGCUUAUUCCUUCUUCAUUAACAAACUCACUGAAAUUAUCAUAAAGUGAUCAAGUGUCUUUGAAUUCAAGUGCUUCGGACAGAAGUAAAUAUCUCCACUUUCCAAAGAAUUAUAUGAAUCUAAAUGUAGGGGAGGCAACUGAGCUACGGAUUCAUACUCCGUUGUUUGAGAACGUAUGGAGUGUUUGUUAUAUUUCUGUUUUGUCCACAAAUAGUUUGUUCUAUUGUAAUUAAAUUUUAAUUAUUUUAUACAAUUUUUAUUUUUUGAAAA